rnacentral:rRNA from 1 species
CCUACGGGAGGCACCAGUGGGGAAUAUUGCACAAUGGGCGCAAGCCUGAUGCAGCCAUGCCGCGUGUAUGAAGAAGGCCUUCGGGUUGUAAAGUACUUUCAGCGAGGAGGAAGGCAUUAAGGUUAAUAACCUUGGUGAUUGACGUUACUCGCAGAAGAAGCACCGGCUAACUCCGUGCCAGCAGCCGCGGUAAUACGGAGGGUGCAAGCGUUAAUCGGAAUUACUGGGCGUAAAGCGCACGCAGGCGGUCUGUCAAGUCGGAUGUGAAAUCCCCGGGCUCAACCUGGGAACUGCAUUCGAAACUGGCAGGCUAGAGUCUUGUAGAGGGGGGUAGAAUUCCAGGUGUAGCGGUGAAAUGCGUAGAGAUCUGGAGGAAUACCGGUGGCGAAGGCGGCCCCCUGGACAAAGACUGACGCUGAGGCGCGAAAGCUAGGGGAGCGAACGGGAUUAGAUACCCCAGUAGUC